GGAGGGUUCAUGAUCGGCUUUGCAAGCCGGGUGUCAGGGGUUCGAAUCCCCUAGGCUCCACCA
rnacentral:tRNA from 1 species